CUGGCCAAUGAAAAUGGCACAUUUGAUGUAACUGAAGCUGUAGUGCUCAUUCUUUGCGGAGGAGGGCGGGAACAUGUAACGUAGCACGUUUGGUUGUGUCCUUUUUGUGUUUGACUACUUAGGCUUGAAGCACCGGAACAAUUGAGCUUAGGAUGUCCUGCAGGGUUGCACGCUUAAAAUUCUCCUCUGCUCUCUCUAUCGCACAUGGUGGAGUUUCGUCCCAGACACGUGCACGCACACACAGCAGGCCGCCAGCACACCUCUUUACAGCGGCUGUGGAAGGCAGUCUCCAUCCUCCGCCGGGUGUCCUGGACGUGGCACCUCUUCAUGAGCGGGAAGUAAUGGGGGUACUUCAGCGUCACCCUGAAGCGGCCAUCCUCCGUGCGUUCCAGGCCAUUCAUGUAGCUGUCUGCCAUGCCGCCUUACCGAGGGAAAGGUGGCAUCAGCCAUGACAAUGCUGCACUGCUCUUACCGCCACGCAAAUGCUCACAUGCCUACCUAGCUCGUCCAUGGUGAAGAGCAGAGCGAGGACCCUCUGGAAGACGUCCUCCCUCAUGCUCAGUUCCACGUCGAAGUCGGACAGCUUCCUGUCCGCCUCCGUGCUGGCGUGCCGCACUUCCCGACAUGGCGAGACAUACUGGGGGAAAUCCAAGG